rnacentral:lncRNA from 1 species
AGGGGUGGAUCCCGCCAUUUUUAAAAGGAGGUUUAAACCAUACUAGUUUAUAUGUAACUUUUUAAAUCAUGCAUUGAUCUUCCAAAAAACAUGAAAAAGGGGGGGGGGUCCAAUCACAGGAACAAUUUUUUAACAAGCCCAAAUUCUUACUUUGCCUUUGAACAGGCUACUAUCCAAGAGUGUGGAGUAUUGGAACGUCGAUUCAUACCUGUAUGCACAAAUUUAACAAAUGUGAACAUUUUUCCUUCAAAUUCUUGGGUGAUGAUCCAUGAUCAAUGAUUAUUCUGAUAGACAUGUAUUAAAAUAUUCAUUUCUACUCACCAAUUGCAAUUUCCAGCUCAGCUUAUAUUGUACUAUAGUUUCCUUCUACCAUGUCAACGAUUUUAUGUAAAAUAAGUUAGCUAUUAGAAGCGCUGACACUGCCGACACACAUGCGACAUGAAUGCAACAAAAAUAAAGAGGGUACGGUAACGUUAAAUCGUUUACGGGCGAAGAAUUAUUUUCCGUU